rnacentral:rRNA from 1 species
AUUGAACGCUGGCGGCAGGCCUAACACAUGCAAGUCGAGCGGAGCGGCGGACGGGUGAGUAAUGCCUAGGAAUCUGCCUGGUCGUGGGGGAUAACGUCCGGAAACGGGCGCUCAUACUGCAUACUAUCAGGUUAGCCUAGGCCGGUUUCGCUGGUUGGUGGGGUAAAGGCCUACCAAGGCGACGAUCGGUAACUGGUCUGAGAGGAUGAUCAGUCACACUGGAACUGAGACACGGGCCAGACUCCUACGGGAGGCAGCAGUGGGGAAUAGUGGACAAUGGGCGAAAGCCUGAUCCAGCCAUGCCGCGUGUGUGAAGAAGGUCCUCGGGUUGUAAAGCACUUUAAGUUGGGAGGCGUUACCAACAGAAUAAGCACCGGCUAACUUCGUGCCAGCAGCCGCGGUAAUUC